rnacentral:lncRNA from 1 species
GGUGCCAUUCUGUCAACAGUAGUGCACUACAGAGGGAAUAGGGAACCAUUCUGGUCUAAUGUAGUGCACUACAGAGGGAAUAGGGAGCCAUUCUGGUCAACAGUAGUGCACUACAGAGGGAAUAGGGAGCCAUUCUGGUCAACAGUAGUGCACUACAGAGGGAAUAGGGAACCAUUCUGGUCUAAUGUAGUGCACUACAGAGGGAAUAGGGUGCCAUUCUGGUCUAAUGUAGUGCACUACAGAGGGAAUAGGGAGCCAUUCUGGUCUAAUGUAGUUGCACUACAGAGGGAAUAGGGAGCCAUUCUGGUCUAAUGUAGUGCACUACAGAGGGAAUAGGGAGCCAUUCUGGGUCUAAUGUAGUGCACUACAGAGGGAAUAGGGAACCAUUCUGGUCAAGCAGUAGUGCACUACAGAGGGAAUAGGGAGCCAUUCUGGUCUAAUGUAGUGCCUACAGAGGGAAUAGGGUCCCAUUCUGGUCUAAUGUAGUGCACUACAGAGGGAAUAGGGUCCCAUUCUGGUCUAAUGUAGUGCACUACAGAGGGGAAUAGGGAACCAUUCUGGUCAACAGUAGUGCACUACAGAGGGGAAUAGGGUCCCAUUCUGGUCAACAGUAGUGCACUACAGAGGGAAUAGGGUCCCAUUCUGGUCUAAUGUAGUGCACUACAGAGGGGAAUAGGGAGCCAUUCUGGUCUAAUGUAGUGCACUACAGAGGGAAUAGGGUGCCAUUCUGGUCAACAGUAGUGCACUACAGAGGGAAUAGGGAACCAUUCUGGUCUAAUGUAGUGCACUACAGAGGGAAUAGGGAGCCAUUCUGGUCUAAUGUAGUGCACUACAGAGGGAAUAGGGAGCCAUUCUGGUCUAAUGUAGUGCACUACAGAGGGAAUAGGGAUCCAUUCUGGUCAACAGUAGUGCACUACAGAGGGAAUAGGGAGGCCAUUCUGGUCUAAUGUAGUGGCACUACAGAGGGAAUAGGGUGCCAUUCUGGUCAACAGUAGUGCACUACAGAGGGAAUAGGGAACCAUUCUGGUCUAAUGUAGUGCACUACAGAGGGAAUAGGGAGCCAUUUCUGGUCUAAUGUAGUGCACUACAGAGGGAAUAGGGAGCCAUUCUGGUCUAAUG